GACGAACGCUGGCGGCGUGCUUAACACAUGCAAGUCGAACGGUGAAGGGACCGGUUUUUGCUGGUUCUGGAUGAGUGGCGAACGGGUGAGUAACACGUGAGUAGCCUGCCCCCUUCUUCUGGAUAACCGCAUGAAAGUGUGGCUAAUACGGGAUAUUCUGCGCCUGCUGCAUGGUGGGUGUGGGAAAGAUAUUGUUUCGGUGGGGGAUGGGCUCGCGGCCUAUCAGCUUGUUGGUGGGGUGAUGGCCUACCAAGGCGGUGACGGGUAGCCGGCCUGAGAGGGUGGACGGUCACACUGGGACUGAGACACGGCCCAGACUCCUACGGGAGGCAGCAGUGGGGAAUAUUGCACAAUGGGCGCAAGCCUGAUGCAGCGACGCCGCGUGAGGGAUGGAGGCCUUCGGGUUGUAAACCUCUUUCGCCAGUGAAGCAGGCCUGUCCCUUUUGUGGGUGGGUUGACGGUAGCUGGAUAAGAAGCGCCGGCUAACUACGUG
rnacentral:rRNA from 1 species